GGAAGGGGGGGGGGAGAGUAAUAAUCUGUACAAGUCAUUAAAUGAUAAAAAAUUAAACACUUCUAUCGAGAUUAAACGAGAUAUCGGUACUCGGCAUCGAUAUUGGCGUGACACGUCAUAGUUGCGAUGCAUUCCAGAUACCUGUGACGUUUAAGUCGCGAAACGCGUACGACAAAUCGGAUAAUCGGAAGUAUAUUUCUAUGCAGAAGCCCUAGAAGCCUGCUCUCCGUGGUCGGACGCAAUCUAUUAUUACGGACCACUGCGAGUUUAAUGCGCCUGGCUUAUCUACAUUCACCGUCGAGUGCGUGCUAUCUCCCGCGCACCCGGUGAACUGCCUCGAGGCGUUCAGUGCACGAGUUCAGGUGAAGCAAUUCGUGUUUCUCAUUGUCAGUGAGCGCACUCACUUUAGGCAGGUACCGUGCUAUACGAUCGGAAUGUGCAUUGCCAUUCAAGUAAGAAUCAAUAACAAAAUCAAGCACAGCAUAUGUAGAUGGAUACUUCAAAGAAUGACUGAAUCGUCUGGAAGCAAAUUGAAAAUUAAAAUUUAAUGCACAAUAAAGAGCAUAGGCAAUAGAAACAGGGAAUAAGAAAAAAAUAUAAAAAAGCGUUUCCUAUUAAACAUACUAAAUUGUUCCUUAUUCUAUUCAUUGUGUCUGAUCUUUAAUUCAUCACGGAAAAAAGAAUUUAUUAAAACAACUAAGAAUCUUCAGCAGAUUCAUAGCCGUUACACACUGACAGCCAGUUUUCCAAGUUAAAAUAGCAAAGUUUUCAACUGAAUAAAAUUAAAACCGAUCAUACUCGUUGUAAUUUGUUAAUACAGUAAGACAACUUUCAACCUUCUGCAAAAUUCAAUCAAAUAUAUGGAUUAAAACUUUUAAUAAAAUAGUAACUUUUAACAAGCUUUUAAUAAAAUACUAGCUAAGAUGACGUAUAUUUUUGUUGCUGUAAAUGGAAAAAACAUUUUUAUUGCAGCAUCUAAAAAUUUAAUUAAAUAAUAAUUAAAAAAUAAUUUUAUAUUAGGCUAUGAAAAUAAUUAUGUAAAACGAAAUAUUAAUUAUGUAUGAUGAUGUUGCUGCAAACAGUUUUGAAAUCAAAUUAAACAUCCGAUAUUUUUUAAACGGUUCAACAUAAUUAUUUUCAAAUCUGCAUUUCAGCAAAAUUGUUUUUUGUAGUAAAAGGAAACUUGUUACAUUAGUAAAUUUCAUUAUAACAAAGCAUUAGUUAUUCUAACAAUUGAUUCAUUGCUUUCGGACAUAAUUUCUUUGUUGAACUAUACCUUCUAGAUAUCAAACUCGUGCAGCAAGCUAUAGCUUUCCAAAAUCACCUAAUCUAUUUUUUGCCAUAUUCAUAAGUCAGUUAUGUAAUGUCUCUCUCUCUCUCUCUCUCUCAUGUGUCCCAAAGUAUGAUAUCCCUGUAAACAACGAAUAAAUUAAAAGAGCCUAGGAUUUGAAUUUAAGCUUCAUCGUUCCCUGCCUAAUACUAAGACUAUUACUCCAUGAUGCUCCAUUACUCUCGUAAUUAUUUCGUUUGCUUAUUAUUUCUUAAUCAGCUUAAAUAUCUUACAUUUCGAAGAACUGAAUCGUUUGAAAACAAAGUAAAAUCUAAUUCUUCAAAAGUUAGUAACGUCUAUGAUGUCUUAAAAAAAAAAAUAGAUUGGGUGAUCUAGUAAAGUUAUAGCCUGCUACGUGAGUUCAACAUCUAUAACUGAGGAGAUUUGAUAAUUCAAUAAAGAAAUUUUGUUUGAAAAUAAUUAUCAGUAUAUUCAUUGAACAAAUUCUUUGCUGCAAUAAAAAUUACUAAUAUAAUUAAUUUUCUUCGUUACAACAGCAAAAAUAUGCGCCAUCCUAGCUAGAUUUGCUACAAAUUUUAAUUCACUCGAUUGAUUUUCGCGCAAAGUUAUCUUACUGUAUCUUACUGUAUCAACCAAUUUACUGUGCUGUUAUAACAAAUAUAAUUAAUUAUAAUCGCUAAUUUUAUUCAACAACAAAUCUUUGCUACUUUACGUAAAAAAUUGGCUGUCCGUAUAUUACGGCUAUAAGUCUGUUGAAUCAGUCGUUAGGGACGUAAAAAAUUAUCAGUAAGAAAGCGUGAUAAAUUCUACAAGACACUCGAACGACAUAUAAAAAUGAUACUUGGAUUUUUAAGAUAUAAAUCUUAAUUUUAUUUUACGAUAAGUAUUGUGACAGAAAGUAUCAUAAUACCAAUUUUUGUUAAACUUAAGAGCUAGAACACAAUGAACAAAAACAAAAAAUAGGGAAAGGGGAUAAAAAACAGUUCAAUGUAAUGUUAUCACGAAUCCUUAUUUCUAUUUUCUAUUUCUUAUUCCUUUCAAUGAGUCUAACCCUUUAAGUAUGCCUAUCCUUAUAAGCUGAACGAUUAUAUGGCUCAUGGACAAAAAAGCGAGGAGGAGGAAAAAGGCGUGGAGAGGAUACGGACGUUUACGAUGACCGCAAAAACUGCAGAGCCAGGAAAGGGAGAGAAAGGAAGAUAUCGACUGACGCCUAAUUUGAGUCAACUUCGAGCACAUAGUCGUGUCUUCAUCGAUCGUUCAUCACCUUGAAUUAAGUGUCUCGGAAUGAAAUUAGUCGCAAGGAAAAACAAAAAAAACCAGACUUGGAUUAAAUCGAAACUCUAAAAUAAGAUGUUAGCUUUACAAAAGACUUGGAAUUCUAAAAUAAAAAAUGCUAGGCUUUAUCAGAAGUUUCUUUACAAAAGUCGAAGAGCUUCUGGAAAAACGCAGAAAAACAAAUAAAAAAAAAUGUGUCAAAAAUAUGUGUCAAAAGAAAACAACUAAUUUCAACAACUUUCGUAAUAUAUUGAUCGCACUUGAGUGAAGACGUAAGUCGUAAAGUGAUAAAAAAAUCAAUUUAUUUCGCACUUGUAGCGUAAGAAAAAUGCCCUUAAUUUUUUGUCUAAGAAUGUAUUCAUUUUUUUUACAUUUUUAUCUGUAAAUAAUUAACUGUAACUCUUUCUUUUGUAGUGAUCAUGGUGCAAAGUCGUGUGUCUACUUUCUGUGCCGAAGAUCCGAGUUCAAAUCCCACUGAUCAGAAACAUCUGAUUUUAUUCGAUUGCUCUCAGAAGGCAAUCCUUCGAGAGUAUCUUGCCAUAAAAACUCCUUUAAAUUAGAUUGUUCGAAACCGACGUUUAAACUGUAAAUCCCGUAUAUCUGUGUAAAUUGUAAAAAGCGCACACAACAAAAAUACGUUAAGGGAUCACCACAGUUAGUUCGCAUGGAGCUGACAACCCUACAUUGUAAAAAAAUUCAGUAAAGUUACACAUAACAGAUGUAAAAAUUACACGAUUAGUCCCGUAAAUAUAUAAAAAUCAUAUAAUUUUAUAGAAAUUAUGUAAUUCCACAGAAAAUAUGAAGAUUUGCUUUUAUUGAAUACAUAUAUCUUAUUUUAUACGGUAAAUUAUGUAUAUAACAGGAUAUUUAAAUAUUAUAUGUAAUUAUCUAAAUUUUUGUAACACUACGUAAUACAACGAUCCAUAUAUCGCUGUGAAAUAUAAUCCAAUUAAUGUUCA